UUAAGGAGGGAGUCCAUCUUCAGUUGCAGUGCCUGACAUUUGAUUGUGGAGUGGCUCUUCUGGGUGGAAAAAGUGUGGUUCCAGGUCACUGUCAAGUUGCUGCUGCACAUCUGAGAAUCUUGAGCAUUCAAUCUAGGCUUAAGCCAUGAGCAUAUGGCCUUCUCCUAGCAACUGUAAUUGGAUCAAUGCUGAGUCAUCUGGGAUGAGCAAGCUGGUCCAGUCAGACCAAAAGAAGAGAUAUUCCAUAAUUAGGGGAGAAGUUUGCUCCACAUCUUUCCUACAUGAAUUUAAUGAGGUCUACCAUCUCUAAUAACAAGCAGUGAUUUCUUUUGGGAAAGAUAAUCUCGAUAACAAUACAUGAUUUGAGGCUCUAAAAGUCAAAUGUGUUCACCAGGAUUGCAUUAAAUUACUUCAGGGAGAGCUGGCAUCUUUGUAACAUCAUUAUAAGAAAAAACAGGAGAAAGCUCCAUCCGGGAGCAGUGUAGAGUGUGGAGAAUCCCUAAUCAUUGACAAUAGGGAAAGAAGAAAAGUCUCUCUCGAAACAUCCCUAGAAGGAAGAUCCUGGAGAUCAAAGAAACAAAAGAUGCCAGUAACAACAGAAAUCUAUAAAGAGCUGGGAGUAGAAAAAGGAAACGGUCAGCCAAGAAGUACAUAUUCAGAUGAAUAACCCUUCAAAAACAAAGAUGAAAUAAACACUUUUUAGAAAGAAAGAGCACUGACAGACACCAAAUGUUUAACCUCCCAUGCACAAGUUCCUGUGUGGUGGCCCAGAACACUUCAGAAGAGUCGGUCCCUGCUUCUUUCUACCUUUGCUGCUCUGUGCUUAAAGCUCAGUAGAAUUGUGGGGAUAAUCCCACAUCACACUAGAACCUCCCCUUGGAAAACUGAACCUUAUUGAAUUUUGGUAGAUGACAGAGAUGAAAUGGUCUUCUCUUUUCUCAAGGAGUGCCUAGAGACUGCAAUAAACCACCACAACAACAAUACUCCCCCUUCAAACAUACAAAUGCCAAAAAAAUGUUCUGGCAAAAUGUUGGUAUGGAAUUGAAUGUUUUAAGGAUUAGUCCCAAUGCUGCUACAACCAAUCUCUGGAGUGUGAGGGCGAAUUAGAGAGGAUUCCAUCCCGAUUCCACACCCAAAAAUAAAAUUGAAGCUCGCAGACCUAGGUGUUUUGGGAUUGGCAUCUAUGGAUGACUGAAUAUACAACUGGACAUCAGAAUUAUGGGUUUUCUCUAUAGUUCUAUUAUUUUGAUUUAUGUCUGUAAAAUUGAAAAGUCAAAUUUUUUCUUAGAUAUAUACUAGCUACUAUAUUAAAGGUAUUGUGACUGAUUAUUGGAAAACAAAUUUUUAAGAAAUGCAAUUACAAUAAUCUAACA